GCCAGAGGAUGAACUACAAUCCGGGAGCGUUGAAUAUUAACGUUCCCGUAUAAUCGCAUUUGAUUGGCAACAGGCUAGCUUUCAGAAGGUACUGUACCACAGGAGACACGGCUAUUGACACGAACAGUCAUCUAUCUUGAUGCAGUAGCGACGGAACGGCUCUGUUGUCGUUAGAUCAAAAAGAGUGUGGGCAGACAACCACAUCGAUGUUGCUGCAGCAAUUUUGAAUUGGCCGCUAGACACUUUUACGAAAGUCGACGUCUAGGGUAGAAAAUAAAUGCCAAAGAGAGAACGACACCAGAAGAGCGUACCCAGUCUCCACUUUCUAAAUGGUCACCGUGCGAGCUUCUUGUCAUCUGGUAAAGGUCUCCUGGCUGCAUGCAAGGGAAAUACUGUGAAGUGACUGGAUCGAGAAGAAAGCAGCGUCAACGUUUUGUACGAAUCUUUCUUGCAAGACGACGUCAAUCGUUCAUCAUCAGUCCUACUUACACCCAUGGAUAAAACAUAUUGCUUUCUUGAAGAUCGGGGAUGAUGCAUGUUGGUCGAUCGUUGCAUGCAUGGUCCCAUGGGACCUUCACUUGGCUUCAUGAAGAACGAUAAAUUUGUUUGUUUUGUGAUUUUUCUGUAAAAAAGUAACAGACGUGUACAACUAUUACCUAAACUUU